rnacentral:rRNA from 1 species
AGUGAACGCUGGCGGUAGGCCUAACACAUGCAAGUCGAACGGCAGCACAGUAAGAGCUUGCUCUUACGGGUGGCGAGUGGCGGACGGGUGAGGAAUACAUCGGAAUCUACUUUUUCGUGGGGGAUAACGUAGGGAAAUUUACGCUAAUACCGCAUACGACCUACGGGGGAAAGCAGGGGAUCUUCGGACCUUGCGCGAUUGAAUGAGCCGAUGUCGGAUUAGCUAGUUGGCGGGGUAAAGGCCAACGAAGGCGACGAUCCGUAGCUGGUAUGAGAGGGAGGUCAGACAGACUGUAUGUGAGGCACGGUCCACACUCUUACAGUGGGCAGCAGUGCGGAAUAUUGGACAAGGGAGGCGAGCCGGAUCCAGCCAUACCGCGUGGGUGAAGAAGGCGUUCGGGUUGGAAAGCCCUUUUGUUGGGAAAGAAAAGCAGCAGGUUAAUACCCCGCUGUUCUGACGGUACCCAAAGAAUAAGCACCGGCUAACUUCGUG